GGUGGGGUGGCCGAGCGGUUGAAGGCACUGGUCUUGAAAACCGGCAGGCCCGAAAGGGUCUCGUGGGUUCGAAUCCCACCCCCACCGCCA
rnacentral:tRNA from 1 species